UUCUAUUAUUUCUUUUUUAUUUCUUCUAAUUACAUACUUAGUCGUAUAAUAACAAGAAGAAAAAUGAGGCAACUCCAGUUGUU
rnacentral:ribozyme from 1 species